rnacentral:lncRNA from 1 species
UGUGUUGUGCAUUAAAGCAUUGUCCUUAUUUCAUUGAUAAGGAGUAACAUAAUAUUGAAGGACAGUGAUAUAAAGUCACUUUCACAUACCUUAAUAUAUGUAACUGAGAAAUUAGUACUCUUUAUUUUAUAAUUAUCAUGUGAUCAGCUUUACCUUAUAGAAACAUGAAUUUUCACGUUUUUUUUUUAUGUAUCAGUAUGUUUAC